UUGGCCAAAAUUUCAGACACCUCCCUCUCUCUUUGUCCUCCUCACUUCCCAGAAAAUGAACUCCUCUAUAUCAACCGCACACUACCAAAUCCAUCCAUGAACUGAAGUUUGCCAUUGUCAUCAAUUUGGGCAACUUUAUCGAGCUCGCACCACCAACAUCCCUAAUUCGGCUAUUACACUGGCUUGGUGGCAAGAAAUCAGAAAUUAGGGCUUGAAAAUUUGAGUGAAAGCUAGAGUUUAGAGCUUGAAGCUAGGUAAAAAUUUUUCUGCAAAAACUACCGUCCAAACAAGGGUACAGAGUACAAAAGUGUAGGUUCCAAAGGGCAUGUAUGGAAUUUCAUGAUCGCUAUUCUAUUUCCUGAAUCAAUUGGGUUUCCUCUGCCUCGCACAAAAGCAGUGUUCCCUCCUGCGUGAAGCUUGUAGCUGUCCACACAAAGAUUCAAGCUUUCUGAAAUUUCCAAAGUUCCGGACAAGUGGAAUUGCUAGACUUUAGCUUCUGUCCAGCAAGUAUUGUAAAAUUGGCUUGGAUUUUUGCAGAUUAUGUUUCCUUACUUUUACUUGCCCUCAUUGCUUCUGGAAUCUGGACUAUUUGAUUUUCAGGAUUUUGUUGUCAAUGUUAUAAUCUAUCGUCAAAGCACAAAAUUAGACAUCUUUUUGAAUUUCUGUUUAAAUUCUUGUAAUUUUUAUGAACAUUUGCGAUGCAAUUGCACACAUUACAAUAUUGUUGGCGUACAGUCAUCGUUGAAAUUUGAUAAAGAAACGAUUUUGAUAGCUCGAAUAUUUUAUUUUGUGGCCUUUCCUAUAUUACGGUUGUCAUUGUGGUAAUUAUUGUUAUAUUUUCGAUGAUGGAAUUUUGCUAAUUUGGCAACUUUUUGACGAUUUUUUUUAAUAAAGGGCCUUUCUUGGAUAGUUAGCUAUAUAGACCAUGUUUACAAGUCGAAAAAGCUUUUUUGAUCAAAUUGUGCUAGAAAAUUAAAAAGAUAUCUAAAAGGUGUGAACUUGCUCAGGUUUAUAUUAUUAUUUGCUGUUAUCAGUCAUCUAUGUAAGAUAUUUGUACGUGGUGAUAUUGUUUAGAAUCUUAAGCUCAUAGUGUUGGGUUAGUUAGUUGCUGAAUUUUAGUUAUCUUGGCUGAUUUUUACCGUUUGCCAGGAACCCUUUUGAGUCUUCGAAGAUAUUUCAAAGCAUACUCAAGUUGUUCUAGUUCUACUACCUUAUAAAGUCAAUUGAAAAGUUAUAAAGUUCUUCAUGGUUAGGAUGAGCUUAUUAUGUUAUGGAUUGAAGGCAUAAUUUGAGAUUCAAGAGUAUAUUUCCUCCAAGAAGGGGCCUUUUCCUUUUCGUCUUGGGGAAUUCUUCAUUUUUGACGGGCACUGCACAAUGGAAGGGGGGAAUUGGUUCAAUCGGAAAGAACAUAGUGGAGAGAGGUUAAAUGUGAAUGAAAGUGAACUCGAUACCUUCAUUAGAUUGUUGGAAGAUGCAAAAAAAGAGCUCUAUCCAGGCAACUAGUUUUACUCCAAGCUGAUUAAGAACUUGCAGAGCAGCAACUUCAAACAAGAGGGCUAUAUGAGGAUUUGAUUGCCCAAAUGAAAGAGUUACGCAAAUGAAAAACUCCUAUACAGUCCAGCUUGAUAUUGAUCAUGAGGAGGCUGUUGGAUAUGAUGGUAGAGAUGGUUGAAGUCUGACGUUAGUGCUGCAGUCUAUGCUUUAGUUUAGAAAUCUAGUACUCUGUUUUUUGAGAAGGAUAUGUAUUGACUAUUAGUGCUUGAACUGAUUAUGUGGGUUUUGGGAUCCAAUAUUUUUGGUUGACUUCUGUUUUGAUGAAUUUAUAGAAUUUUAUGGCCAUAUAUGUGAAUUUGUGGCUUCAUUUUGGGUUAA